UACGAAGGGGGCUAGCGUUGCUCGGAAUCACUGGGCGUAAAGGGUGCGUAGGCGGGUCUUUAAGUCGGGGGUGAAAUCCUGGAGCUCAACUCCAGAACUGCCUCCGAUACUGAGGAUCUCGAGUCCGGGAGAGGUGAGUGGAACUCCGAGUGUAGAGGUGAAAUUCGUAGAUAUUCGGAAGAACACCAGUGGCGAAGGCGGCUCACUGGCCCGGUACUGACGCUGAGGUGCGAAAGCGUGGGGAGCAAACAGG
rnacentral:rRNA from 1 species